rnacentral:sRNA from 9 species
AUGUACCACUCGUACACUGCGGUUCCUGCGCGCCGUCCGCGCCCACCUGACGGCUGCUCGCUACGUUUUGUUAGCC